ensembl:misc_RNA 7SK 7SK RNA
GGAUGUGAGAGCGAUCUGGCUGCGACAUCUGUCACCCCACUGAUCGCCAGGGUUCAUUCGGCUGAUCUGGCUGGCUAGGCGGGUGUCUCCUUCCUCCCUCACGUCUCCAUGUGCGUCCCUCCCGAAGCUGUGCGCUCAGUCAAAGAGGACGGCCUUCCCCGAAUAGAGACGGUCCGGUCUUCGGCGGAGGGUAUGUGAGUAGCUGCGCUCCCCUGCUAGAACCUCCAAACAAGCUCUCAAGGUCCAUAAAGUGACUUGUGUAGGGCUGGUGAAAUAGCUCAUGUGGAUAGUGUGCUGCUUU